UAGAAAUGGUAAAAAAGUAUUUUGUAGCCUAAAAAUAUCGUAAAUAGUACAAAUUAAAAUAAUCACAAAUAUUAUUAUUAUUAGUUUUAAUAUUUAUAAAUAAUUAGUAUUUAUAUUGAAUACUUUAUCAAUGGAAUUAAGAUUUAAAAUGUCUCACAAUGUUGAUAAAUAUUGUAUUAAGGAACUUGACAAUCUUAAGAAAUUAAUAAUAUUGGAUCUGUGAAGAUGAAAAGUACAAUGGAUGUCAUGGCUACCAGCAACAAGACUAUGGAUGAUAAUAUUAUUAUUAAUUCAGUGUUAAAAGACGAGCCUAGUGGUGAUAAAUUUGCUCCAGUUUACCUAGAAGAUAUUUGUGCAGGAACUUUAGAAAAAGUUUUUCUACCAAUUGAUACACACGAAGUGGAUUUUGCUGAUGAAAUGGUGAUAAUACACUAGAGUGAAGCUUGGUUUAGAAAAUCAGAGUAAUCAAAAUUGGGUAUAUCAAAUAGCUGGUUCAAAUUCUUUACCUGAUCGAUUAAAUGCAACCAGACCUAAUUUUAUUCAAAUUGAAGAUAGAAGUAAUCUCGAGUUAG
rnacentral:misc_RNA from 1 species